rnacentral:rRNA from 1 species
UACGUAGGCAGCGAGCGUUGUUCGGAAUUACUGGGCGUAAAGAGUGUGUAGGCGGUGCUCCCAGUCUGUUGUGAAAUCUCCCGGCUUAACUGGGAGGGGGCAGCGGAAACUAGAGUGCUAGAGGGUGGGAGAGGUAAGCGGAAUUCCUGGUGUAGCGGUGAAAUGCGUAGAUAUCAGGAGGAACACCUGUGGUGUAGACAGCUGACUGGACCACUUCUGACGCUGAGACACGAAAGCGUGGGUAGCAAACAGG